GAUCUGUGAGCGUGGGCGGCGGGGGCGUUGCGAGGAAGGCUCUGAAGAGAACGGCGGGGCGAGAGGAGCGAACGAAGUGAGAGGGUAGAGAAACGGAGUCCUGUAGGUACUAUUUUUCUUGUAGAAAUUUGCUAAAUGGGUCAUGCAGAUGUUAGGAUGCCGUUGCAAUCAAAAUCACUAGAACCUCCAGCUACUAGCCAAAAUUUGGCUGCAAGAGGUCCACCACCUGAUUCAAAUCCAAAGAAGAUCUGCUGUGCCUGCCCGGAAACAAAGAGGCUGAGAGAUGAAUGCAUUGUGCAGCAUGGCGAGGCUGCAUGUGAAAAAUGGAUUCAAGCUCAUUUACAGUGCCUUCGUGCUGAGGGAUUCAACAUCUGAUGCUUCAUAUAACGGUUGGGGUUGGUAGUCUUUCAUUUCUGCGAUUUAGGCACCAGAUACUUUUUAUACUGAGUUUUAACAUAACUGACUUCCCAUGAAGAUUCAUGAAGAAAGAUGGUCAAAGAUUUAAGCACUAAAUACUUUUUAUACCGAGUUUAACGUCCCUGAUCUUCCCAUUGCGAUUCAUGAAUAAAGAUGGACAAAUGUUCUCGAGUGCCGUGUCCAGAAGAUAUUUCAUUACUAUUUUGCUCUCCUCAAGUUACUAAAUUUUUGUUUUAUAGAAAGAUAAACAAACUUUUGACAUAUCAGAGUUUAACCUUACAAGUUAGUUUAACUUACAGAUGUCCUCGGUGCCUUUUCUCUUUGACUGGAGUAGGAUUUGUCAGGGUACGAGGCCUGUUUAGAAUACAGUGCGGUAGUAUUUGGGGAAAAUAAUGCAGGACUUUUCUUGGUACCCUAAUAUUGAUGGGAUGUUGCAAACUACUUGGGAGCUUCAGUGUCAGGUUGCUCAUAGAUUGACAGGAUACUUGAUGUAGAGGCGUUCUGUCAGCUUUGGUGAAAGGUUUGUAGGAUAGCCCCUCCAUGUGAUGUCAUGAUGGUGGGAUAAGAUGAGCUUCCUGAUCCUUCUGCUCCCAUGUUCUGUUGCUACUCUAAUGAUGGAGAUAUUGUGCAAAUACUCAAGCCACUUAUUCAUAUGGUACCUGCAAUGUUCCUAAGAUUUUUUGGACUAAUGCAGAUUUGGUGUUGGUUUACUAGUUUCUUUUUUCCAGACUUUUGAUGAUAUAUGCUUGUUAUUGCACUAGCAAGUCUGAUAUACCUGAAUUAUUUCUCAGUAAAUAAGAUUUUUUUAGCAACUGAGGAUGUCUACCAAAAAGAUUCAUAAAAAUUCUUGUCCUUUAUCACCACCAAAAAAAAAAAAAAGAUUCACAAAAACACUGUAGAUGCUAUACUUACACAGUUGGCCCUUACAGAUCUAACCAUAUAUCCAUGAAUUUUUUAUUGAGUUUGAUGGCAGCUACCACAAAAUUCUGUGAUGUUGUGUUGAGUUACUUUCUAUUGUAUACGUGCAACAUCCCCCAUGCAAUAACAAUAGAGUUGUUUGAGCAUAAGAGGUGGACUUACAGAAGAAUUGAAGAACCAUUGACCCCACAGUUCCUAAAUUUCAAGUUCCUAGAUCUCCAUACGAAUCAAGGAGUUCCUGUCUGAGCCUGUACUGUGUUGAGAUGUCUGACCUUAUUAACUUGAAGCAUCAUCUCUUUGCUACAUUUGUGCAGGCUUAUUUAUGCAGGCAAGCAGCUUGCAGAUGACAAGACUGCCAAGGAAUACAACAUCGAGGGUGGUUCUGACCUUAUGAAUCAAGCAGCUUUCUCCAAGGGUGUCUUUAGUAAUAAUUAUUCAUGAUAUUUGAAAAAAAAAUAAGAGUAACCUAAACAUUACAUAUGGAUUUAAUGUGUUUUAUCAAGAGUGCCCUUAAAUUA